UGGGGAAUAUUGCACAAUGGGCGCAAGCCUGAUGCAGCCAUGCCGCGUGUAUGAAGAAGGCCUUCGGGUUGUAAAGUACUUUCAGCGGGGAGGAAGGCGAUAAGGUUAAUAACCUUGUCGAUUGACGUUACCCGCAGAAGAAGCACCGGCUAACUCCGUGCCAGCAGCCGCGGUAAUACGGAGGGUGCAAGCGUUAAUCGGAAUUACUGGGCGUAAAGCGCACGCAGGCGGUCUGUCAAGUCGGAUGUGAAAUCCCCGGGCUCAACCUGGGAACUGCAUUCGAAACUGGCAGGCUAGAGUCUUGUAGAGGGGGGUAGAAUUCCAGGUGUAGCGGUGAAAUGCGUAGAGAUCUGGAGGAAUACCGUUGGCGAAGGCGGCCCCCUGGACAAAGACUGACGCUCAGGUGCGAAAGCGUGGGGAGCAAACA
rnacentral:rRNA from 1 species